rnacentral:rRNA from 1 species
AGCGUUGUUCGGAAUUACUGGGCGUAAAGCGCACGUAGGCGGACACCCAAGUCAGGGGUGAAAUCCCGGAGCUCAACUCCGGAACUGCCUUUGAAACUAUGUAACUAGAAUCUUGGAGAGGCGAGUGGAAUUCCGAGUGUAG